UAACACGGGGGGCGCAAGCGUUAUUCGGAAUUAUUGGGCGUAAAGGGUGCGUAGGUGGCCCGAUCAGUCAGAUGUGAAAGCCCUGGGCUCAACCUGGGAACUGCAUUUGAUACUGUCGGGCUAGAGUAUGGUAGAGGGAAGUGGAAUUCCGGGUGUAGCGGUGAAAUGCGUAGAUAUCCGGAGGAACACCAGUGGCGAAGGCGACUUCCUGGACCAAUACUGACACUGAGGCACGAAAGCGUGGGUAGCAAACAGGAUUAGAUACCCUGGUAGUCCACGCCGUAAACGAUGUCAACUAGCCGUUGGGAACAUCUAGUUCUUAGUGGCGCAGCUAACGCGCUAAGUUGACCGCCUGGGGAGUACGGCCGCAAGGUUA
rnacentral:rRNA from 1 species